rnacentral:rRNA from 1 species
GGCUGAAAUUCGCCUUCAUGAAGCUGGAAUUGCUGUAAUGGCAGGUCAGCAUACUGCCGUGAAUACGUUCCCAGGCCUUGUACACACCGCCCGUCACACCAUGAGAGUUGGAAAUACCCGAAGCCUGUGAGCUAACUUAAAGAGGCAGCAGUCGAAGGUAGAGCCAAUGAUUGGGGUGAAGUCGUAACAAGGUACC